GUGUCAGCAGCCGCGGUAAUACCAGCACCCCGAGUGGUCGGGACGAUUAUUGGGCCUAAAGCAUCCGUAGCCGGUCCUACAAGUCUUCCGUUAAAUCCACCUGCUCAACAGAUGGGCUGCGGAAGAUACUAUAGGGCUAGGAGGCGGGAGAGGCAAGCGGUACUCAGUGGGUAGGGGUAAAAUCCUCUGAUCCAUUGAAGACCACCAGUGGCGAAGGCGGCUUGCCAGAACGCGCUCGACGGUGAGGGAUGAAAGCUGGGGGAGCAAACCGGAUUAGAUACCCCGGUAGUCC
rnacentral:rRNA from 1 species